UCAGAUUCUCAGUGCCCAAAUUCCGCUACGCUGGCAUGCAUUAAAGCCUUUUUAUAAAACUGUUCCUAAAGUCAUCGAAUUUCAUUCAAUGCUUUCAUGAUAAACAGUUUACAGUUGGUGUUAAUGUUUCAACGAAGUUAUUAACCCCCAUUGUAGUUAGGUCUGACUGUUGCAGUGUCUGUCACAGAGAAGAAGAUACUCCAAUUUGGGGAGUUGUAUAGUUGCUCUGGAGUUCGAAACUUUGAAGUUAUGACUAGUUUUAGAAGUGUUUAUUGUGUGGAGCACACCGCAAACAGUUUGUAAUCAAUUUCCGGAACACCCGGUAAGACUUUCACAACAAAGCCUUAUCCUUUUCACUACAGAGUCUAGACUUUGCUGCUUGGAACUUGGAAGCUCUCUAAUUUGUACCAGUUUAAGCAAGGACGUCAAAAAGAAACAGCUUUUGUCCUUGUCUGUAAUAAAAAAAAUCUCUAAAAAACCCCAUUACACACCUUCUUCACUUCCAUUAGUCCAAACUAGGCUACUAGCUGUGUCUCCUCACUCUCUCUCUCUCUCUCUCUCUCUCUCUCUCUCCCAUUCCUUCCAUGGAGGCCAAGCACAACACCCUUCACUUUCUCUCUCUAACUCUCAUCUCUCUCCUCCACUUCUCAGCCUCCUUCACUCCCUCAGACAACUACCUCCUCAACUGUGGCUCUUCCUCCAACGUCUCCCUCUUCAACCGCGUCUUCGUCGGAGAUUCCGCUUCCGGGUCGGGUUUUGUCUCCAGAGGCCGGUCCAUUUCAGUCACCAACAACAAAACCCCACCUCCAAACUCACCCUCUCCUUACAACACAGCAAGAGUUUUCACCUCUGCUUCAAGCUAUAGCUUCAGCAUCAAGAAAAUCGGAACUCACUUGGUACGUUUUCAUUUCUCACCGUUUUCGGCUCAGGGGUUCGAUUUGGGGGCAGCAAACUUUACCAUUUCGGUUAACCUGCUUGUUAUUUUGACUCAUGCACAUGUAAACGAAACUGUGAUUAGAGAAUACAUAAUGAAAAUCGAUACCAAUGUGCUUGAGAUUGUGUUUAGUCCUUUGGGAAAUUCGGGUUUUGGUUAUGUGAAUGCAAUUGAAGUUUUUACAGCUCCUGGGGACCUUAUUGUGGACAAUGGUGCUAAGUUGGUGAGUGCCAAUGUAGAUGAGUACAGAAACCUUUCUUCACAGGUUUUAGAGACUAUUUAUAGGAUCAAUGUUGGGGGUUCAAACUUGACUCCUUUUAAUGAUACAUUGUGGAGGUUUUGGGUCCCUGAUGUGGAGUAUCUUGCUCUGGAAUCGGCUGCUAAGCGUGCCUCGACCACUGAUGUGCCGAAUUAUCAGAGUGGAUGUGCAAGUAGGGAGAUUGCGCCGGAGAAUGUUUAUAUGACUGCCCAGGAGAUGAAUAAUAAUAACUCAACUGUAGGUGAAAGGUUUAAUAUUACAUGGAAGUUUCCAGUGGCUCUGGGUGGUGCUGCGCAUUUAGUUAGGUUGCACUUUUGUGAUAUUGUUAGCAAAUCACUUAACUUGCUGUACUUUGAUGUAUAUAUAAAUGGAUAUGCUGCAUACCGGGAUGUUGAUCUAUCGGUGAUGGCAACCAAUGAGCUUGCAACUCCUGUCUAUAUUGAUUUCGUUGUGGACUCAGAUGAUUCAGGGCUGAUAGAAGUCAGUGUUGGUCCUUCUGAUCUCAGUAGUCCUAUGAGGAUAAAUGCAAUAUUGAAUGGGGCAGAGAUCAUGAGAAUGGUGAAUGUGUCCAAUUUACAUGCCCAAAAUGUGUCUACUGUGUCUAAGAAGAAAAACAUAUGGAUUUGGGUGGCUCCAGUUGCUGGAGGAGGCUUUGUUGUUCUGUGUUUGGCAAUGGUGUCAGUUUUACUUGCUUUAAAGCGCAAGAAGAAGAAGAAGAAGAAACUGAAAACCAGACCUUCAGAAAGUGUGGGUUGGACACCAUUAAGGGUAUAUGGGGGUAGUUCACACAGUAGAAUGUCUGAGAGGACAGCACUUGCAUCUCCGGGUGCAAAUGGAUACUAUUGCUUGAGAAUCCCUUUUGCUGAAUUACAAGCAGCAACAAGCAACUUCGAUAAGAAACUAAUUGUCGGUUCUGGUGGUUUUGGAAUGGUUUACAAAGCAGUCCUGAGGGACAAUACAAAGGUAGCUGUUAAGAGAGGUGUGCCUGGCUCCAGACAAGGCCUGCCAGAAUUCCAGACUGAAAUAACAGUAUUGUCCCAAAUUCGGCACCAGCAUCUUGUAUCACUUGUCGGAUAUUGUGAGGAACAGUCAGAAAUGAUCCUGGUUUAUGAAUAUAUGGAAAAAGGGCCCUUGAAGAAACAUUUGUAUGGUUCAGGGCUUCCACCUUUGUCGUGGAAGCAACGACUUGAAAUAUGUAUUGGAUCAGCAAGAGGUCUUCACUACCUUCAUACAGGUUUUGCUCAAGGCAUCAUACACCGUGACAUCAAAUCAACUAACAUUUUGCUUGAUAAUAAUUAUGUGCCAAAGGUGGCUGAUUUUGGUCUUUCAAGAUCAGGGCCAUGUCUCGACGAAACCCAUGUAAGUACUGGGGUAAAAGGUAGCUUCGGUUAUCUUGAUCCUGAGUACUUCCGGAGGCAGCAGCUUACUGACAAGUCCGAUGUUUACUCAUUUGGUGUUGUGCUCUUUGAAGUGCUUUGUGCUAGGCCUGCUGUUGAUCCACUGGUUGAAAGAGAGCAAGUGAACUUAGGCGAAUGGGCAAUGCAGUGGCAGAAGAAGGGCAUGCUUGAAAAAAUCAUCGAUCCCCAUCUUGUUGGACACAUCAAACCAAAAUCUCUGAAGAAGUUUGGCGAAACAGCGGAGAAAUGUUUGGCUGAAUAUGGCGCUGAUAGGCCAACCAUUGGUGAUGUAUUGUGGAAUUUAGAAUAUGCUCUUCAGCUUCAGGAAUCUGGGCCACGACAAGAACUGCCUGAAGCAGGUGAGAGUAAUGAGCUUCCAACAAAUAGUAUCGCUCCUGGAGAUCCUUCUCCCAGCAUAAGAAGAUUGGAAGAUGAUGGCACUGGUAGCUCUGAGAUCAAUACAAGCCAAGUCUUUUCUCAGUUGAUGAACAAUGAUGGCAGAUAGCUUCAGGCUUGUGCUGCAAUAUACAAUCAAUACUGUACAAGAACUUUAAAGAUUACCAUUCGCCAUAAUCGGAGUUGAGGACUACCGAUGAGCCAAAUCUUAGAGGAUUAUAAUGAAUCAUGGGAAGCUUGCAUUUUUCAGAAAUUGAAGUUCUAGCUGGCAAAGCUAGCUGUUCUGAACUAGGAGCAAGAUUCUUGUACUCAAACUUUUCUGACUUUUGUGGCGGUUGUUAUUGCUUAAUAGUGUGUGGGUGUUGUCAUUUACUCUGUAGACUUCUAAAAGUGUGGCCAAUCAAUAUAAGAAAUGGGUGAAGAGAACAAAAAAAUAGAAUGAGUGGGAACAAAUGCAUUACCACAUCCACAAGAAAAAGGUUUAUACUUUAUAGGUCACACUUUACAGAAGUGUCAAUUAGCAAUGAUCUGGUGAAGCAUUACGAUGUUUAUUGUGUUUCAUAUGAUGCAUUUGGUAUUGCGGAAACACUACCAAUCUGUAGGUGAGAUAUAGUGGGAGGUGGUGUCUCUACUCAAAAAGGCGGGUUCCUUUAUUCACUUUUUAAUCAUC